rnacentral:hammerhead_ribozyme from 1 species
AUCCAGCUGAUGAGUCCCAAAUAGGACGGAACGCGCGUCAAACUGGAU